rnacentral:lncRNA from 14 species
GUUGGAGCAGGGAAAUAAGAUGAAAAUGCUUCUCUGAAGUUUGAAAUCAGGACUUCUUCUGGGCCUUGCACAUCUGCAGAGAUCAGAGCCCCAGUGCUGUCGUGCUGCCUCUUUGAACCGUGUGUGGGGAAUUCCACCCCAGGCAGGAAUAUACACCUGGCUUCACAGUAGAGGGCUCAGCCUGCAGGAACCCCAAACAAACCUAUCACAAGUGGUAAUAUACAUUGGUGAGGCACUGCCAAACCCCUGAGAGCUGUCCACAGACAAAAGGGGUCAGGUCAUUCUUUGCACAGCCCUGCAACUGCUUGGUGCAGGGUUUCUUCUGAAGACAUAAGGGUUUAGACCUGCAAGAGGAACUGCAUGGGUUUUGCAGUCCACAUGCUCAGCUACCUCAGUGCCUGAGUGGAUUAUUGGAGUCCAGGGUAACUUGGGAGACACAUGGAAGCCAACAUCCACCUGCCAGCUGUAGAUGGGGUCCAUCCACUUCAAGGCAAUUGCAUCUUGGUCCAGACAGGCACCCAGCAGUAGCAUCCUGGCAGGUGACUUGAGGCGUCCAUCAGAUGAUGAGAUAGUGGAGAUCUCCAGAGACUUUUCCUACACAAGAUGUCUGCAGACUCCAAACUCUGAAUCUCCAUUCGUGGACUCUGAGCUCCUGACAUUGAUUUUACCACUGCAGUAACAGGGAAAAUUGUGUGAAUUGGUGGCAGAAGCAAGUUACAUGGUGAGAGUCUUCAGGUCCUCCAGGGCACUCUGGCAGCACAAGGCAUUUUUCCAGUCAAAGUAUCUUCAGCUGUUUAUGUCCAGUAGCUGUAAGAUUUGGGUAUCAGAUAUCCAUCCUCAAGUGAAUCUACUUUCCCCAGGUGAGUUUGUAUUAAACUGAUGGUGGAUCAAAGAGGGCUGCGGCAAGAGCUGGGCUGCACUUUUUGGUUGGCACAGCUUUUGCCCUGCCUGAAAGCUCAUCUCUCUGCGUUUCUGUAUCCACAGAUACCUGAGUGUCCAUCAGAUGAUUUCUGCUGGAACAUCUUUGCUGCCCAUAUAUCUUGGGCUCACACUUGUGCC